UCUUAUGAAUAAGGAGAGAAAGUGGUUUCCUGAGUUGGAAUCUACUCCUGGUGAAGAUGCUGUGAA
rnacentral:pre_miRNA from 1 species